CGGGCAUCGGAGCAGGACUGCCCAGCCUCUGGAAAACCAUUUCUGGGGCAGGAGAGCUACUAAACACGCAAAGCAUCCAAGAACCAGGGGCAUCGCACCGCUUUGCAGACGCAGCAAGGAGAGGGACUCAGAGCCUUCGAAUACCAGGAGACGACCGCAGUCAUUUCCACUAAGACGCAGAUAUUCAAAAAAACCCAGUGGCUUUGCAGGAAGGACGCCCCGAACGACUCUGUCUCCCUCUGACGAGAGGCCGUUUACAGGAGCUUGGGAGGCAGCCAAACCCCACCGCAAGCCGAGCGGCCGCCCUCAGAAGCAAAUACUUUGGCUGCAGAUUGCAUCAUUCAGCUUACAGCCUCGCUGGCCUCCGCUCCACGGUCUCCUUCUAUGGAGCAGGGACGGGCUUGCAGCAGAGAGGGAUGCGGGAACCGUGCAGAAGGCCCUUGACGUGCCAAACCGCCCCCGAAAGGACCUCAUCGGCAGCUCCGCAAGAUUCGCGGUCACGCCACUCUAUUUUCUCCAAGUUUAAAACAAAGUCUCUGUCCUCAAAUACUGACUCAGGUUAUCUGUUGAAAUUAGCGGUGAUGAGUGGACAGCAAUGUAUCAUGUGAACGCUAUCACAAGCUACAACAUACUUGUGACUCCGUAGAUUGCAAAAACCCCCGCCUUGCAACAGUGCCAAUGAGAAGUUUAGAAACAAAAUCAAGUACGAAUUUCUGUAAAGGAAGUACCUAUACUUUUCCAAAAAACCAGCUGCUAAAAUUGCACUUUCUGUUCUGGGCGGUUCAGAUCAGGACAAGGGCAGCUUCUGUUUCCAGUCAUAAGUGCCUUUAAAUCCAGAUUGCUUCAGAAUUGCAAAUGUAUGGGGAAAUUUAAUAAAUCCAUUUUAUGAUAAA